rnacentral:rRNA from 1 species
AAUGAACGUUGGCGGCGUGGAUUAGGCAUGCAAGUCGAGCGCGAACCGUAGCAAUACGGGGAGAGCGGCGAAAGGGAGAGUAAUACGUGGAUACCUGCCCUCGGGUUCGGGAUAGCUACGGGAAACUGUAGGUAAUACCGAAUAACAUCUUCGGAUCAAAGGUGUGAUUCCGCCCGGGGAGGGGUCCGCGUCCUAUUAGCUAGUUGGUGAGGUAACGGCCCACCAAGGCGAAGAUGGGUAUGGGGUGUGAGAGCAUGACCCCACUCACUGGGACUGAGACACGGCCCAGACACCUACGGGUGGCUGCAGUCGAGAAUCUUCGGAAAUGGGGGAAACCCUGACCGAGCGACGCCGCGUGCGAGAUGAAGGCCUUCGGGUUGUAAAUCGCUGUCAGAGGGGAGGAAAUGCCGGGAAGUAAUUCAUAAUCAACUCGGUUUGACCUAGCCUCAGAGGAAGGACGGGCUAAGUUCGUGCCAGCAGCCGCCGUAA